GGUUUGUUAACUACAUGGGAAAUUCAAGGUAUUAGCAUUUCAGAUAAAGGUCUGUGUGUCAUUGAUGAGCUGCAACUGAAGGUGUCUGAAGAUCACCUUCUGGUCA